GAACUUGAACCUAAAGUUAAGGCAUCUAACUGAUAAUUAGAAAGCAUGAGGUUAAAAUCCUCCCAAGUUCU
rnacentral:tRNA from 1 species